rnacentral:rRNA from 1 species
AUUGAACGCUGGCGGCAUGCCUUACACAUGCAAGUCGAACGGCAGCACGGGUGCUUGCACCUGGUGGCGAGUGGCGAACGGGUGAGUAAUACAUCGGAACGUACCUUAUCGUGGGGGAUAACGCAGCGAAAGUUGCGCUAAUACCGCAUACGCCCUGAGGGGGAAAGCGGGGGACCGUAAGGCCUCGCGCGAUUAGAGCGGCCGAUGUCUGAUUAGCUUGUUGGUGAGGUAAAAGCUCACCAAGGCGAUGAUCAGUAGCUGGUCUGAGAGGACGAUCCGGCACACUGGGAGUGAGACACGGCCCAGACUCCUACGGGAGGCAGCAGUGGGGAAUUUUGGACAAUGGGGGCAACCCUGAUCCAGCAAUGCCGCGUGAGUGAAGAAGGCCUUCGGGUUGUAAAGCUCUUUUGUCAGGGAAGAAACAGCAGCUCUAACACAGUCUGCGAAUGACGGUACCUGAAGAAUAAGCACCGGCUAACUACGUGCCAGCCGCCGCGGUAA